UAACAUUUCAAUCAUUAAAUCCUUGAAAAUUACACAGUUAUUUAGGUCGAGUGCGAUAAAGUACACACUCGCCUAAAAAGCUCGUUUUGGAAAUCAUUAAAAGCACUUAACACAUUAGCAAAUGAUAACAACAAGCCAUAGAAUCAAAUAAGGAACACUCACCUAGAAAUGCAAAAUAUCGUGCAAAAUAUCCUUCCGGAUAUUACCCUUAAUCACCAAUGAAACCUAAGGUUGAACAAGAGAACAUUAUUAUAGUUUAUCGAGCAAAACAUUUAAGGGAAACAAAAAAACCCGACUAAUUAAGAGUAAAACGUGUAAAGAUGACUUUCAAGUAAGAAGAGGGUUGUUUGAACCCAAGGAUGAAAAAUCAUGUUUUAAAAUGGAAAACCGGUCAUGGUAU
rnacentral:lncRNA from 1 species